UACGGAGGGUGCAAGCGUUAUCCGGAUUCACUGGGUUUAAAGGGUGCGUAGGCGGGCCGGUAAGUCAGUGGUGAAAUCUCCAAGCUUAACUUGGAAACUGCCGUUGAUACUAUCUGUCUUGAAUAUUGUGGAGGUGAGCGGAAUAUGUCAUGUAGCGGUGAAAUGCUUAGAUAUGACAUAGAACACCAAUUGCGAAGGCAGCUCGCUACACAUAUAUUGACUCUGAGGCACGAAAGCGUGGGGAUCAAACAGG
rnacentral:rRNA from 1 species